rnacentral:rRNA from 1 species
AGAACGAACGCUGGCGGCAUGCCUAACACAUGCAAGUCGAGCGCCCGUAGCAAUACGGGAGCGGCGCACGGGUGAGUAACGCGUGGGAACCUGCCCUUAGGUUCGGGACAACCGCGGGAAACUGCGGCUGAUACCGGAUGAUAUCUUUGGUAGCGAUACCAUUGAUCAAAGAUUUAUCGCCUUUGGAGGGGCCCGCGUCGGAUUAGGUAGUUGGUGAGGUAACGGCUCACCAAGCCUGCGAUCCGUAGC